rnacentral:rRNA from 1 species
UACAGAGGGUGCGAACGUUAAUCGGAAUCACUGGGCGUAAAGCGCGCGUAGGCGGUUCGUUAAGUGGGAUGUGAAAUCCCCGGGCUUAACCUGGGAAUUGCAUUUCAAACUGGCCGACUAGAGUACGGUAGAGGGAGGUAGAAUUUCCUGUGUAGCGGUGAAAUGCGUAGAUAUAGGAAGGAAUACCAGUGGCGAAGGCGGCCUCCUGGAUCGAUACUGACGCUGAGGCGCGAAAGCGUGGGGAGCAAACAGG